AUUGAACGCUGGCGGCAUGCCUUACACAUGCAAAUCGAACGGUAACAGGUCUUCGGAUGCUGACGAGUGGCGAACGGGUGAGUAAUACAUCGGAACGUGCCUAGGAGUGGGGGAUAACUACUCGAAAGAGUGGCUAAUACCGCAUGAGAUCUACGGAUGAAAGCAGGGGAUCGCAAGACCUUGUGCUACUAGAGGGGCAGAUGGCCGAUUAGGUAGUUGGUGGGAUAAAGGCUUACCAAGCCGACGAUCUGUAGCUGGGCCGAGAGGACGAUCAGCCGUCCGGGGAUUCAGUAUCGGCCCAGACUCCUACGGAGGGCCGCAGUUGUGAAUUCUGGACAAUAGAGGAAAGUCUGAUCGCGAAAUGCCGGGUGCAGGAUGGAGGUCUAAGGGUUGUUAUCUGCUUUUGAACGUACCGAAACGCCCUGGGCUACGACCCUCGGGUCAUGACGUUACCGUCAUAAUAAGCACCGACUAAAUACGUGCCAGCAGCCUCGGCAG
rnacentral:rRNA from 1 species